AUGAAGGAAAUUGCACAGGCCAGUUGGCUCAACACCCCUUCCCUGGCGCUAAGUCUGACCCCAGGGAAGGGGUGGCCGGGCCAGAGCUGGGGUCUGCAAGGAAGCCUGGCUCCCUCAGCAUCACCAGCGUUCCUGGGCUCAGCUUGGGGUCAAGAUCGUUCCCGGCCAUCCCGGAGUUCCCGUUAUAAGACAAUCAGACUCAGCUCUGUCCAAUCCCUCCUCCCACGGGAGCCAGAGAUCGUAGCGGGUGGGGGCAGGAAAGCCCUCAAGGUCUUGUCGGCCACCAGCUUUGACAGGCGGGGAAAGUCAGCACCCCCCCCCGGGGGGGGUCUGUUCAGGACAGUGAGUUCCGUUGCUUUUCCCCCCAACCCGUCAUCACACCUCGUUUCCUUCAUUUCAUCCAAGGCUUGGGCACCACCAUCUGGCACGAGACUCUUCCUAAGGUUGAAAGUGACCAGAUCAAGGGCUUGGUUUUCAACAGUUCUAGCCAGAGGGUGUGGACACGGGCCUGCUGUGUCCAGUCCUUGGCAGCAUCUCAGAUUCGAACUCAAAACUGUGCUUCUUAGAGCUCCUGUUGUGGCACAGCAGAAAAGAAUCCAACUAGGAACCACGAGGUUGUGGGUUCAAUCCCUGGCUUCACUCAGUGGGUUAAGGAUCUGGCAUCGCCGUGAGCUGUGGUGUAGGUCGCAGAUGCAGCUCGGAUCUGGCAUUGCUGUGGCUGUGGCGUGGGCCAGCAGCUGUAGCUCCAGUUGGACCCCUAGUCUGGGAACCUCCACAUGCUAUGGGUGUGGUCCUACAAAGCAAAAAAAAAAAAAAAAAAAAAAAAACCUGCUACCUUUAAAAAUGCAAUCACUGGAGGGGAGGGAUGGACAGGACCGGGGGUCUGUGGGCAUCUCUAGGCCUUCGUGGGUGUUGCAGACACUGGCUCUGGGCACGGCUGGAAGGGAGCAUGGGCUGACUGAGGCCAAUGGGUUUCCUGGUGACCCAGGGGACAGAGGCUGGUCUGGGGGCUAUCGGGAGGACCAAGGGCAGGGAUCUCAGAGAGCAGAGGGAGCUGCAGGAGAACCAGCCCACAGCAGGCGAACUAGCGAUGUCCACUUGCCACUGUCUAUUAAGUGGCAUUAUUUAAACUCUGAGAGUCACUCAGACUCAGAGCUGGCAGAUUAA
rnacentral:lncRNA from 1 species